rnacentral:ncRNA from 1 species
CGUUUUGAGAGUUUGAUCCUGGCUCAGGAUGAACGCUGGCGGCGUGGUUAAGGCAUGCAAGUCGAACGGUCAGAUCUCGGACUUCAGAGUUCGGAUCUCGGAUGGUAUAAUACGAAUAUGAACGACGUUUCCGACUUGAUCAUCUAUCAACGAGCAUUAAAACUUCUGGAGCCAAUCUAUAGAUUGGCCAAGAUGUUGCCAAAAGACGAAAGCAGACUGCGAUCUCAAAUAUGCAAUUCGGCAAAAGCAAUCUCUGCUCAAAUCGCGGAAGGAUUUGCUAAAAAAGAUUCGCAAGUCGAAUUUAAAAGAUUUCUUCUAAUGGCCCUCGGCUCGUCUGACGAAACCAUUACUCAUUUAAGACAAAUUGAGUUGUUAGGUUUUCCGAUGAUCAAAAAAGAAACGUGCGUUGCUUUGAUAGAUAAUUAUAAAAUCGAAUCAAAGCAGAUCAAUUCUCUUAUUCAAAAAAUCAAGAAAAAAUCCGAAAUCUGAUAUCUGAUGUCCGAAAUCUGAUAGUGGCAAACGGGUUAGUAACGCGUAGGUAACUUACCUUGGAGUCUUGAAUAAUUCCGCGAAAGCGGAACUAAUACAAGAUGGUAAUGCGGGGACGAAAGUCAUUCGCAUUUAAAGCCGCACAGCAAUGUGCAAUGCUCCGAGAGAGGCCUGCGUCCUAUCAGCUAGUUGGCGAGGUAACGGCUCACCAAGGCUAUGACGGGUAGGGGGAGUGAGAGCUUGGCCCCCAACAUCGGAACUGAGACACUGUCCGGACUCCUACGGGAGGCUGCAGUCAAGAACCUUUCUCAAUGGGCGAAAGCCUGAAGAAGCGACGCCGCGUGUAUGAAGAAGUCCUUCGGGAUGUAAAAUACUUUU